rnacentral:rRNA from 1 species
UACGGAGGGGGCGAGCGUUAUUCGGAAUUAUUGGGCGUAAAGGGCGCGUAGGCGGCUUGACAAGUCAAAGGUGAAAUCCCUCGGCUCAACUGAGGAACUGCCUUUGAAACUGUCAGGCUUGAGGCCGGGAGGGGUAGCGGAAUUCCCAGUGUAGCGGUGAAAUGCGUAGAUAUUGGGAGGAACACCAGUGGCGAAGGCGGCUACCUGGACCGGUACUGACGCUGAUGCGCGAAAGCGUGGGUAGCAAACAGG